rnacentral:rRNA from 1 species
CAGUCGCCGCGGUAAUACGGAGGGGGCUAGCGUUGUUCGGAAUUACUGGGCGUAAAGCGCACGUAGGCGGCUUGGUAAGUUAGAGGUGAAAGCCUGGAGCUCAACUCCAGAAUUGCCUUUAAGACUGCCGAGCUAGUAGGUGAGAGAGGUAAGUGGAAUUCCGAGUGCAGAGGUGAAAUUCGUAGAUAUUCGGAAGAACACCAGUGGCGAAGGCGGCUUACUGGCUCAUUCUAGACGCUGAGGUGCGAAAGCGUGGGGAGCAAACAGAAUUAGAUACCCGCGUAGUCCCUGUCUCUUAUAC